rnacentral:lncRNA from 10 species
CUGGUCUCGAACUUAGAUCUUAUACUAAAUUUGUUGUGAUUUUUGACAGGUUUAUUUUGUAGGCAUGACUGAUUAAGACAUUGGCCAUUUGAAAAAACAAACACAAAAAUCCCCCCAAAACAACAAUAACAAACAGACAUGGACCAUGUGAUUGGGCUCAAAGUCUAGUCCCUCACACCUCCAUGGAGGCAGAGAUGGAGGGGGCCCGAUGGGCUAAAAGUUCUGACCCCGUAAUCGUACAGUGCAGAGGGAUUCCAUGUGACUAACAAGACAUGCCUAUCUUCCAGAAACUCCAAGGAUUUUAGGAAUUCUUUACUAAGGACCAGGGGCAAACACCAAAUAUGUAUUUUAUUAUAUGAUAUAUUCCUAUCAGCUCCCCCAGUUAAACAUAUGAUAUGAGCCAAACCCAUGCGCUUGCUAUGCAAAUGCAACUUCAAGACCAGGCCCCUAACACCACCUUCCAAAGAAAUUCAGGAGCUACUAUUGCUAUCCAGUGAGACUCAAUCGGGGCCAGCUAGAAGGCCUGGGCACACCACUUCACCUCACCUCCAGAGUGCUUUCCUCUCUUGUGAACUGGAGAUAACUCAGGUCUCAGUCUCAGAGGGUUGUGUAAGAUGAUGUGCGUCUGAGUGCCUCGCAGGUAGGGCUUGCACGAUCAACAUUCAGUCCUCCUCCUGAGAAUUAUUUAAGUCCCUGGUCCUCCUGGCCCCCACUGUGCUGUUCUCUCACCCCUGUGGGAAUGUCCAUGUCUUCCUUGUCACGAACCCCAAUCCUCUCCACACACACACACACACACAAACACAUAUGACACCCCCACCCCAGCCACCACACCCAGCACCAAUAACUGCUACCAUCAGAUUAAUAUGAGAGGCCAGCUAUGGUGGCU